rnacentral:lncRNA from 1 species
UUCAUUCAUUUUUUUUCAUUCCAACUUAUACCAAAUUAUAUAAUAUAAUAUUUACCAUUUUAUCAAACUAAUAACAAAAUAUGGUAUACCAUUCUUAUAACUAACUUUACAAGUAUAUCUAUAUAACUUAUAAAUCACCUAGUACAUGCCACUUUCAAUUAAAACAUCACCCAAAAUUUGCUGGAGUCGGGAUCGUUCAGAUGCUGGACCAGGGUACCAGACUCCUAUUAACCUGCGCACGGAAACAACCGCACGCUGAGUAUUCCGUACUCAGUGGUAUUACCAUAAUUCAAAUUAUAAUAGCAAUAAAGAAUUUUAAUUACCAAACAUGUAACUAUCUAAUUUCACAAAUAUCAAUUCAUUCUUAAACUUUCAUUAAUUAAUAAUAACGAUACAAUUUUUAUCUAUUCUUCAGUUUCCAUCACAUAUUACAUGUAACAAUUUCAAUCACUACAUGAACAUUAAGUUCAUGCCUGUCAUUUUCAAUCUCAAUUUCAAUCCACUAUUCAACUUUUUCGUUUCUUUCAAUAUUUCAAUAAUAUAAUCAAUCAAUUUAUUUUAAAUUUCUCAUCUUAGAUAUUCACCCUAUUAACAAAUCCGGACUUUGACGGAUACACGGAUUCCAACCCAAACACACCAGUACGGCACAUUGUGCCUAAAACGAUACAUAGUACCUGAUCAGUAUACGACACAUAAAGUGCCUAAAACGACACACGAGGUGCCUGAUACGACACACGAGGUGCCUGAAAUACGACACAUAAAGUGCCUGAUCAGUAAAGCCGGCAAAUCCCGUACACUUCCAUAUCCUAUGGCAUGCCAAUUAUAUCCGACUCAGCCCGACUAGUUAAUAGGGUAUUUCUAUUCUCAAUUCACUUUCAUUUCCAUUCCAAGAUUACUUUUCAAUUAAAACUUUCACAUUCAAAUCAAUUUACAAUUCAAUUAUACAUACACAUUCACCAUUCAAUUCAAUUCUCAUUCAACUCAAAUAUCAAUACUUACCUUAUAAUUCACUUAUUAAAUAUAGAAGUGAUAUAAACAUUUAAUAAAAAAGUAAAUUGAAUUAUAGUAAUACAAACCGUGAAUUUCUCGUUUUAAUCCUCGAUAGCUUUCUCCUUUCCUUUGUGCGCCGAUGUCUUGGAUUCUUUGUUAACUACGAAAAUAAUAAUAAUUUAUAAUCAUCAAUAUAACACAAUUCAAUUUAAUCCAUGAGCCUUAACAUGCAAAUUUAACCAUUUUUAAUGUAUAUAUAUAAUUUCACCAUUAAGCUGUCUACUUGAGCCAUUGUUACUAAAUUAUUUAUAUAUUGAGCUGCGAAACUCCAAAUUAAUAUCCAUAAAUUUUCCUUAAAACUAGACUCAUAUAUCUUCUCACCAUAAGAUUUUCAGAAUUUUUUGUCUAGCCAAUUAGUACAGUUUAUUCAUUAAAUACUCCCCUGUUAUUUCAUUUGACAGUUCUGACCUCUCUCUACUAAAAAUAAAUUAUCUCAUUGUACAGAACUCGAAUAAGGUUCUUGUUUACUUAUUUUGAAACUAGAUUCAUUAAGGAGUUCACACAUAUAAAUUACACUCCAUAAUAAUUUUUGUACAAUUUAUAAUGAUUUUCAAAAUUUAAAAUAGGGCAUCUCGAAAUCACCCCAAACCAGUCUUAUAAAAUUUCAAAUAUCUCUUGAUUCAUCAAUUCAUUGCUUACAAUAUUUAUACUAUAAGAAACUAGACUCAAUAAGCUUUAAUUACAUAUUUUAUUAUCCUCUAAUUCAAUUUCUACAAUUUUUGAUGAUUUUUCAAACUUAAACUACUGCUGCUGUCUAAAAUAGUCUUAGUACAAAAUGUUGAUUUACUUUAAUUUCAAUUUAAUCCUAACUAAAUUCACUUAAUUUUCUAUCUUAUUUCAUACUUUAUUUCUAUUCAAAUUUUGUCCAAACUACUUAACUAUUAAAUUUCCAGCAUAUUUUCAUAAUUUCGAAUUUAUUUCCAUUUAAUCCCUAAAACUCAAAACUUAUAACUUAGUUUACGAUUCAAUCCUUUAUUCAAUUCUAAUCAAAAUUUCGAUCAAAUAAACCCCUAAUUCCAUCAUUUUGUUCAUCAUGAACUUUGUUUAAAAACUUAAAAACUUCUAAACUACUAACUUAAUUCUAUCAAAACCUUAUUUUAAUACUUUUAGAACAUCAAAAUUAAGAGAAGGACAUGAUUGAACUUACCAAUUAAACUCCAAGCUUCAAAAACCCUAUUUCCCCUUUUCUCUCUUUUAUUUUCUUCUUUCCUUCCCCUGCUCGAAUGCUUUCUGUUCUCUUUUCUCUAUUCUUUUUGUUUCUUUU